GAUGAACGCUGGCGGCGUGCCUAAUACAUGCAAGUCGAGCGAACAGACGAGGAGCUUGCUCCUCUGACGUUAGCGGCGGACGGGUGAGUAACACGUGGAUAACCUACCUAUAAGACUGGGAUAACUUCGGGAAACCGGAGCUAAUACCGGAUAAUAUAUUGAACCGCAUGGUUCAAUAGUGAAAGACGGUUUUGCUGUCACUUAUAGAUGGAUCCGCGCCGCAUUAGCUAGUUGGUAAGGUAACGGCUUACCAAGGCAACGAUGCGUAGCCGACCUGAGAGGGUGAUCGGCCACACGGGAACGGAGACACGGUCAAGACUCCUACGGGAGGCAGCAGUAGGGAAUCGUCCGCAAUGGGCGAAAGCCUGACGGAGCAACGCCGCGUGAGUGAUGAAGGUCUUCGGAUCGUAAAACUCUGUUAUUAGGGAAGAACAAAUGUGUAAGUAACUAUGCACGUCUUGACGGUACCUAAUCAGAAAGCCACGGCUAACUACGUG
rnacentral:rRNA from 1 species